rnacentral:misc_RNA from 1 species
AAACGGCGACGCUUUCGAGCUUAGCUUUUAUAUCCAUAACACCUGUGAACUAUUUGCCUUUGGGCACCAACCUAAACAUAAUGUAAUGAAUGUAAACUAUUAUAACAAAUACAACUUUCAACAACGGAUCUCUUGGCUCU